AGCUCCAAUAGCGUAUAUUAAAGUUGUUGCGGUUAAAAAGCUCGUAGUUGGAUUUCUGUUGAGGACGUCCGGUCCGCACUAUGUGCGUGUAUCUGGUUCGGCCUUGGCAUCCUCUUGAGGAACGUUACUGCGCUUGACUGCGUGGUGCGGUAUUCAAGACUUUUACUUUGAGGAAAUUAGAGUGUUCACGGCAGGCAAGCGCCUUGAAUACGUUAGCAUGGAAUAAUAAUAUAGGAUCUUGGUUCUAUUUUGUUGGUUUCUAGGGCUGAGGUAAUGAUU
rnacentral:rRNA from 1 species